AUUGAACGCUGGCGGCAGGCCUAACACAUGCAAGUCGAACGAGUGGCAGACGGGUGAAUAAUGUCUGGGACACUGCCCGAUGGCGGGGGAUACCUUCUGGAAACGGUAGCUAAUACCGCAUACCAUCGGAUUUGCCCAGAUGGGAUUAGCUUGUAGGAGGGGUAACGGUUCACCAAGGCGACGACCCCUAGCUGGUCUGAGCGGAUGACCAGCCACACUGGAACUGAGACACGGUCCAGACUCCUACGGGAGGCAGCAGAGGGGAAUAUUGCACAAUGGGCGCAAGCCUGAUGCAGCAAUGCCGCGGGUAUGAAGAAGGCCUUCGGGUUGUAAAGUACUUUCAGCGAGGAGGCGUUACUCGCAGAAGAAGCACCGGCUAACUCCGUGCCAGCAGCCGCGGUAAUAC
rnacentral:rRNA from 1 species